rnacentral:rRNA from 1 species
GGCAAGUCGGUGCGAGAGGCCGGGGUAAUGGGGGAGGUGGCAGCGGUGUUCGGUGUUACUUGGGUUAAAGGGGUUGUAGGAGGUUCUUUAAUUAAGCGGUGAAUACGCCGUGGUAAACCCGGAAACUAACAUUGAUACUAUUGGGCUUGAAUAUUGUGGAGGGGGGCGGAACGGGUCAUGUAGCGGUGAAAUGCUUAGAGAUGACCCGGAACACCGAUUGCGAAGGCAGCCCACUACGCAAUGAUUGACGCUGAGGCACGAAAGCGUGGGGAUCAAACAGGAUUAGAUACCCCGGUAGUC